rnacentral:rRNA from 1 species
CCCUUAGAUGUUCUGGGCGGCCCGCGCACUACAUUGGCACUGGCAACAAGAUCCUAGAUCUGGUAUUUCGGGGUAUUCUACCAACUGGUGUCGUGACUGGGAUUAACCCCUGCAAUUGUUGGUUAUGAACGAGGAAUUCCUUGUAAUCACGGUUUAUCAACCCGUGUUGAAUGCGUCCCUGCCCUUUGUACACACCGCCCGUCGCUCCUACCGAUGAAUCGUCCGGUGAAGUUCAUGGAGUCGCGGCUGCUCCAGCUGUUUUCGAAGUGAAAUGGACCUCAUGAUUUAGAGGAAGGAGAAGUCGUANCA